GGCAUCAUAUUCGUUUUCGUUUUUGUUUUUAAGCUCUUUUUUUUUGUUUUUUUUUGUCUUUUCGACUGCUA
rnacentral:ribozyme from 15 species